GGUAGAAUAAGCUAAAUAAUAAGCUGUCGGGCUCAUACCCCGAAAAUGGAAUAUCCUUUUACCA
rnacentral:tRNA from 1 species